UCAAUUUUGCAAUUUUUCUUCUCUGUGCUUGACCUCUGAAUUGGGAUUUGUGUUGAGGUAAAGAAUUAUAAUAACCUGCAGAGUCUCCCUUAAAUCCGAUACCUCCUCUUUCUCUUUCUCUCUCAGAAUGGAGUACUCCAGAGCAAUGUUCUCCACUUCUCCCACGGCAUCAUGACACCCCUAAAUCUCUCUUCUAAUUAGGAUAUUCUUCUCUGGGCUCUCAGGUCCCUGGAGGUCUCAGGGACAUUGGUGCCAUGUUCAGUGUCUAAAAGUAACACUGAACAAUGCAGUUUACUUACAUCUUUUUCUGUUUGACACAAGACAGUUAUUGGUAAGUAUAAUUAUUAGAUAUAGUUAUUUUCCAUGUUUAAAAUAUGAAAAUAUGCAAUAUAGGUUGGUACUAGGAGG
rnacentral:lncRNA from 1 species